rnacentral:rRNA from 1 species
CCUACGGGGGACAGCAGUGAGGAAUAUUGGUCAAUGGGCGGAAGCCUGAACCAGCCAAGUCGCGUGAGGGAUUAAGGCCCUGCGGGUCGUAAACCUCUUUUGCCGGGGAGCAGAGGUCCGGACGUGUCCGGGCCGGGAGAGUACCCGGAGAAAAAGCAUCGGCUAACUCCGUGCCAGCAGCCGCGGUAAUACGGAGGAUGCGAGCGUUAUCCGGAUUUAUUGGGUUUAAAGGGUGCGUAGGCUGUCGGAUAAGUUAGAGGUCAAAUGUCGGGGCUUAACCCCGUGCCUGCCUCUGAUACUGUUCGACUAGAGAGCGGAUGCAGCAGGCGGAAUGAGUAGUGUAGCGGUGAAAUGCUUAGAUAUUACUCAGAACACCGAUUGCGCAGGCAGCUUGCUAAUCCGCAUCUGACGCUGAUGCACGAAAGCGUGGGUAGCGAACAGGAUUAGAUACCCUUGUAGUC